rnacentral:rRNA from 1 species
UACGUAGGUGGCAAGCGUUGUCCGGAAUUAUUGGGCGUAAAGCGCGCGCAGGCGGUCCUUUAAGUCUGAUGUGAAAGCCCACGGCUCAACCGUGGAGGGUCAUUGGAAACUGGGGGACUUGAGUGCAGGAGAGAAGAGUGGAAUUCCACGUGUAGCGGUGAAAUGCGUAGAGAUGUGGAGGAACACCAGUGGCGAAGGCGGCAUCCUGGACCGAAAUUGACGCUGAGGCGCGAAAGCCAGGGGAGCAAACGGG